rnacentral:rRNA from 1 species
GAUGAACGCUGGCGGUAUGCCUUACACAUGCAAGUCGUACGAGAGUUUUUAACUCAAGUGGCGGACGGGUGAGUAACACGUAAGAAUUUGCCUUUAGGAGGGGGAUAACAACUGGAAACGGUUGCUAAUACCCCAUAUGCUUUCGAGUGAAAUGGAUUUCCGCCUAGAGAGAAGCUUGCGGCUGAUUAGCUUGUGGUGAGGUAAUGGCUCACCAAGGCGACGAUCAGUAUCUGGUUUGAGAGGACGAUCAGACACACUGGAACUGAGACACGGUCCAGACUCCUACGGGAGGCAGCAGUGAGGAAUCUUGGACAAUGGGGGAAACCCUGAUCCAGCCAUGCCGCGUGAACGAUGAAGGCCUUAGGGUUGUAAAGUUCUUUCGCCUGGGAAGAUAAUGACGGUACCAGGUAAAG